UUACGGUCAUAUCACGUUGAAACACCGGUUCUCGUCCGAUCACCGAAGUUAAGCAACGUUGAACCUGGUCAGUAUCGAGAUGGGUGACUGAGGAA